AUUGGUGGAAACUGGCUAUUUUGUCCAAGGUCACGGACGGGAUGGGAGCGAGGAACGGAAAACCGUCGAUGUUACUCGGGGUAAGUGAAGAAGGAAAGUGCGCAUCGUCGCCACGCGAUGUAGCUGCGACUCACGUCAAUGGAAUUCCAACUUUGCUAAAAACGCGAGUCAUGCAGUUCAUGCAGCGAUGUGCUGGUAGAGUGGCGUAGCCUCCUGAGCCGGCCAACUUGGUUCACACCGCUCGUGGCUCUAUAAGUCCACCAUCGUUAAUAAGUCAGCCUAUAUUUUCUGCCAACAGGCUUUACAUAGCUUUUUGUUUUGUUUUGUUUUGUUUUUUGUUUUUUAGUUUGUUGUUGUUUUUGUUGUUUUUUGGUUGAAGGAUUUGUUGUCUUAAACGUGAUAUCGCUUGAUCCUUGGUUUGAAAGCGCCGAUAUUAGUAUUUGUUUGUUCGGCUAAACCAUGGAGGUAGAAAUCUAUUUCUACUACUAAACUAACCGAUUCACGACUUGGGAUUUUAUGAUUACAGUUACUGGCUUCGCCACAGUGAGACAUAACUGAUAUAAUUAUUUUAUUACAGGUUACUAGGAAAGGACACUUUUGAACGAAUUCUUUGUAUGCAAUGAAAUCCUUCUUUCUUUGAAAUCAACGUGACUCAGACAUGCGUGUUAUAUGGUGUAGACUCAUAGGCGUGCUCACCAUCAGUUAUCAAUUAUUAUAGACAGAGGACCUGUUAUAUAUAGCUAUACCCCCACAAUUGAAAAAACAUUCUUGCAAGAGCCUUGGCUAAUUUUUAUAGGCAAUCACAUAGGCCUACAUGCCUUUGGGGCUCUGCGUGCAAGGUUGUGUGCUUCCUUCGCUGAGAGAUCAAUGUAAACUUCACACUGUAGCAUCGCCAGGUACGAGCGUCGGCUAUCGAUGGGGGCCUGAUUAUGCGAAUCGACGAAAUACCUUUAAGGGUGCAAUGCGUCUUACUACCCCGCUGCAUCGUGACAUGCGCACCAGCCGGCCUGCAGCAGUAUCCCGACCGCCACCAAAAAGGCAAAAUGCAAUCCUGCAUUGACUGAGCGUUCGUGUGAGCAGUUUUAGUCACCAAAGAAAUGAUGUCUUACCCCGCACUGCAGAGCUGACAGAAUGAUUAGAACAUGGAGGGCCUAAACACCAGUCGACAAAAUUACACAACAUCUGCACUGCCACCUCCCCCCCCCCACGGUGCAUCUUAUCUGCC